rnacentral:rRNA from 1 species
UACGAGGGGUGCAAGCGUUGCUCGGAAUUAUUGGGCGUAAAGGGUAGGUAGGUGGUCUCAUUUGGUCUGGGGUGAAAGCCUUGAGCUUAACUCAAGAAGUGCCCCAGAAACGGUGAGACUGGAGUCCUGGAGAGGGUCGUGGAAUUCCCGGUGUAGCGGUGGAAAUGCGUAGAUAUCGGAAGGAACGCCGGUGGCGAAAGCGAUCCGCUGGACCUCUUCUGACGCUGAGGCGCGAAAGCCAGGGGAGCAAACGGG